GUGGAAAAGCCACCACGGAGUCUGGAUUGGAAUUACCUGACGCAUCCUGAAUUGCUCUGGCUACGGGGGAGAAGACCAUUGUGGGUGAGAGCGGGAAGCGGAGAGCCCAGUGAGGAGGCUGCCGGAUGCACGUGGGGGGGAAGAAGGUGUUGACCCGGACCAGGGAGCAGUGGAGGUGAUGGUGCAGGACUCGAUGCCGGGUGUAUUUUAAAGCGUGGAGCUGGGACAACUGGCAAAACCCGACGAAGAUGGAGAGAUGAGAUGGUCGCACCCGGUGAACCAGGCCAGUCACAGAGGACAAGCACGGUGGCUGGUUGGAUUUUGCCCAUCGCCUCCACCCCCAGACCCAUAUGUACAACCUGCCGGCCACUCAGAGCUCCUAAGCCUGCUACCAGUCUUCUCUCCAGGAACCUCUCCUGGGGACAGUUAGAGGGGCGGAGCGUGUCCCAGCCAAAGACACAGCUCCGUGGCACUUUGAAACACCACUGUCCUCGGCUUCUGGAAAACCAGCGAAAUCUAUUCACGAUG